UACGAAGGGUGCAAGCGUUAUUCGGAAUUACUGGGCGUAAAGGGCGCGUAGGCGGUUCGUUAAGUCAGUCGUGAAAUCCCCGGGCUCAACCUGGGAAUGGCGAUGGAUACUGGCGAGCUAGAGUGUGUCAGAGGAUGGUGGAAUUCCCGGUGUAGCGGUGAAAUGCGUAGAGAUCGGGAGGAACAUCAGUGGCGAAGGCGGCCAGCUGGGACAACACUGACGCUGAAGCGCGAAAGCGUGGGGAGCAAACAGG
rnacentral:rRNA from 1 species